rnacentral:rRNA from 1 species
GUGGGGAAUCUUCCACAAUGGACGAAAGUCUGAUGGAGCAACGCCGCGUGAGUGAAGAAGGGUUUCGGCUCGUAAAGCUCUGUUGUCGGGGACGAAUGUGCAGUAUUUGAAUAAAGUAGUGCAAUGACGGUACCUGACGAGGAAGCCACGGCUAACUACGUGCCAGCAGCCGCGGUAAUACGUAGGUGGCAAGCGUUGUCCGGAAUUAUUGGGCGUAAAGGGAGCGCAGGCGGGAAGGUAAGUCGGUCUUAAAAGUGCGGGGCUCAACCCCGUGAUGGGAUCGAAACUAUCUUUCUUGAGUGCAGGAGAGGAAAGUGGAAUUCCUAGUGUAGCGGUGAAAUGCGUAGAUAUUAGGAGGAACACCAGUGGCGAAGGCGACUUUCUGGACUGUAACUGACGCUGAGGCUCGAAAGCCAGGGGAGCGUACGGGAUUAGAAACCCUGGUAGUCC